ACUUUCAGAGAUGAUGCAAGGGUGGACUGGCAACAGGGGGAGGAAGAAUGAAAGGAACAAGCCAAGCAGGAACAGGAGAGAGAAGACCUAAAGUCAAAGGGAAGAUUGAUCCUCCUCUUUUCUCCUUCCCUAAGGAAUUCAGUCACAGGCUAUGCUGAGCCUACUUCACAAGCACCAAAAUUUCUCUUCUGGAAGUUCAAAUCCUUUUUGAAACUGUGUGGUAACAAUGGAUCCUGACUGAUUCUAAAGAUGAUUAACAAGCUGCUUCUAUUCCACUCUAA